GAUGAACGCUGGCGGCGUGCCUAAUACAUGCAAGUCGAGCGAACAGACGAGGAGCUUGCUCCUCUGACGUUAGCGGCGGACGGGUGAGUAACACGUGGAUAACCUACCUAUAAGACUGGGAUAACUUCGGGAAACCGGAGCUAAUACCGGAUAAUAUAUUGAACCGCAUGGUUCAAUAGUGAAAGACGGUUUUGCUGUCACUUAUAGAUGGAUCCGCGCCGCAUUAGCUAGUUGGUAAGGUAACGGCUUACCAAGGCAACGAUGCGUAGCCGACCUGAGAGGGUGAUCGGCCUCACUGGAACUGAGACACGGUCCAGACUCCUACGGGAGGCAGCAGUAGGGAAUCUUCCGCAAAGGGCGAAAGCUUGACGGAGCAACGCCGCGUGAGUGAUGAAGGUCUUCGGAUCGUAAAACUCUGUUAUUAGGGAAGAACAAAUGUGUAAGUAACUAUGCACGUCUUGACGGUACCUAAUCAGAAAGCCACGGCUAACUACGUG
rnacentral:rRNA from 1 species